AUCAUCCUUCACCCAUAUUUACCAUAAUGAUUUUGUUGGCCGAAAACCAAAGAAGCUGAAGGAUGAUGAUGUGGCCAUUUGUGUCUAUAAAUAUGAUAACCCUGAAAGUGCGUGCGGAGAGGGGUGCUUGAAUGUCAUGACCAGCACAGAAUGCAUACAUGGGCACUGGCCAUGUCAGGACUAUUGCAAGAAUCAGGAUUUGAAGACAAAGAGAACGAUUGGUGGAGGGCAUGAGUAUAAUGGUCUUUAUUUUCUCAACCCCAAUGGUUCGAUUGCAUGUCCUACUACUGUUUUUUCUCUUGAAAUUCACUGUCGUUGGGUCAUCCAUUUCUACAAAUUUUGAAAAAGUUGGUUCAUACUUUGAGUCAGUUGUCUUUAUUAGAAUGUGAGUCCUGUCAGUUAAGGAAGCAUCAUUGUGUUUCUUUUGCCCCUAGAGUCAAUAAAUGGGUUUUU